GACGAACGCUGGCGGCGUGCCUAAUACAUGCAAGUUGAGCGCUGAAGGUUGGUACUUGUACCAACUGGAUGAGCAGCGAACGGGUGAGUAACGCGUGGGGAAUCUGCCUUUGAGCGGGGGACAACAUUUGGAAACGAAUGCUAAUACCGCAUAAAAACUUUAAACACAAGUUUUAAGUUUGAAAGAUGCAAUUGCAUCACUCAAAGAUGAUCCCGCGUUGUAUUAGCUAGUUGGUGAGGUAAAGGCUCACCAAGGCGAUGAUACAUAGCCGACCUGAGAGGGUGAUCGGCCACAUUGGGACUGAGACACGGCCCAAACUCCUACGGGAGGCAGCAGUAGGGAAUCUUCGGCAAUGGACGAAAGUCUGACCGAGCAACGCCGCGGGAGGGAAGAAGGUUUUCGGAUCGUAAAAAUCUGUUGGUAGAGAAGAACGUUGGUGAGAGUGGAAAGCUCAUCAAGUGACGGUAACUACCCAGAAAGGGACGGCUAACUACGUG
rnacentral:rRNA from 1 species